GAGUUUGAUCCUGGCUCAGGAUAAACGCUGGCGGCGUGCCUAACACAUGCAAGUCCGAACGCUCUGCGCAAGCAGGGAGUGGCGGACGGGUGAGUAACACGUGGGGAUCUACCCUUGAAGUGAGGAAUACCGGCGAGAAAUCGCCGACAAUACCGCAUACGUUUCGCAAGAAACAAAGCUCGCAAGGGCGCUUUGAGAUGACCCUGCGGCUGAUUAGCUAGUUGGUGAGGUCAAAGCCCACCAAGGCGACGAAUCAGUAGCUGGUCUGAGAGGACGAUCAGCCACACUGGGAUUGAGAACGGCCCAGACUCCUACGGGGGGCAGCAGUGAGGAAUUUUCGUCAAUGGGGGCAA
rnacentral:rRNA from 1 species